GACGAACGCUGGCGGCGUGCUUAACACAUGCAAGUCGAACGGAAAGGCCCAGCUUGCUGGGUACCCGAGUGGCGAACGGGUGAGUAACACGUGGGUUAUCUGCCCUCAACUUUGGGAUAAGCCUGGGAAACUGGGUCUAAUACCGGAUAUGAUCAACUGUCGCAUGGUGGUUGGUGGAAAGCUUUUGCGGUUGAGGAUGGGCCCGCGGCCUAUCAGCUUGUUGGUGGGGUAAUGGCCUACCAAGGCGACGACGGGUAGCCGACCUGAGAGGGUGAUCGGCCACACUGGGACUGAGACACGGCCCAGACUCCUACGGGAGGCAGCAGUGGGGAAUAUUGCACAAUGGGCGCAAGCCUGAUGCAGCGACGCCGCGUGAGGGAUGACGGCCUUCGGGUCGUAAAGCUCUGUCCUCAAGGAAGAUAAUGACGGUACUUGAGGAGGAAGCCCCGGCUAACUACGUGCCAGCCGCCGCAGUAACAC
rnacentral:rRNA from 1 species